GGCGAAAGACCAGCGGCAGGUGGACAGAGGGAGGAAGGACAGAGAGGAGGGGUCGCCCCCACAAGGGCCAGGCCGGGAGUCUGGAGGAGCCCCCUGCCGGGAAUGCAGCUGGGGAAAGAGGUUAUUAGGUGCAGUCCUGAGAACGGGGCAGGGAUGAGAGGCAGGGAAUUUGUUACUCGAAAACUGGGCUCGACUCGGUGGACGUUGCGCCAAGAGACACAGUCAAGCCAAACAGCGGGAGAAGGAAGCAUUUAUUACUUGCAGCAAUUCGCUCUGUUUUUCUUCACCCUUGCCUUCCAUUCUGGGAGGGAAGAUCCACCUCAACAGGGUGGGCUCCUCUCACGAGCCCACCUCCGGCGGCCCCCUCCCUCGGACCUUGCCAAGACACCGAGACGAGCUCCAGGACAGGACUCUCCACUUGCCUUCUGGACUGACAUCCACACACUGGCCCACAUUUCAUCCCUCAGUUGCAAGGGGUCACGAUGUCUCAUCUCCUUGAUCUGAAUGUCACGAGGGAGCCUUGGGAUUGCUCAGACGUGAAAGGAAGCCUGUCAUUCUGCUGGGUUGGUCGGUGGUUUCUCCUCUCUGCUGCCUUCCUGCAAAGCGGUAAAUGGAAUUAUCACUUCCCUGGUGGUUCAGUGGUAAAGAAUCCACCUGCCAAUGCAAGAGAUGCAAGAGACUUGAGUUUGAUUGAUCCCUGGGUCAGGAAGAUCUCCUGGAGAAGGAAAUGCCAACCUACUCUCGUAUUCUUGCCUGGGAACCUACCAUGGACAGAGGAACCUGGCGGGCUACAGUCCGUGGGAUUGCAAAAGAGUUGGACAUGACUUAGUG
ensembl:lncRNA